rnacentral:tRNA from 2 species
GGGUUGUUAGCUCAGUUGGUAGAGCAGCGGACUCUUAAUCCGUAGGUCGAGUGUUCGAGUCACUCACAACCCACCA